UACGGAGGGUGCAAGCGUUAUCCGGAUUCACUGGGUUUAAAGGGUGCGUAGGCGGGCUAUUAAGUCAGUGGUGAAAGCUCCGAGCUUAACUCGGAAACUGCCAUUGAUACUAUUGGUCUUGAAUUCGGUCGAGGUUGGCGGAAUGUGUCGUGUAGCGGUGAAAUGCUUAGAUAUGACACAGAACACCGAUUGCGAAGGCAGCUAGCUAGACCGACAUUGACGCUGAGGCACGAAAGCGUGGGGAUCAAACAGG
rnacentral:rRNA from 1 species